UCCCUCUCACUGAUUCUUACUGACCUCCUUUCCAGAGUCAUUGCCUGGGUGCAAGGAGCUGGCAAUCAGUGACAUAACUCUGUUUGGACUGAAGAAGCGAACUAUCAAGAUUCAUUGACAUUUUAAUAGGCUCAGAUGUGCUGAAGAAGGUGACCAAUCUAUGAAAAGAAAAGCCAGGAAACAUGAGACGAGACGAGACCUGUGCAACUCACAUGGAACGACAACUGGGCCCCUCUCAUGUCCAUGGCUGCUUAGUGCCCUGAAGGAAUUAAAGGUGUACUGAGCUGCUGGCAGGACCAUCUUUCAGAUGGAUGGUAAAACCAGAGCGACCGGAUGUCUGAAGACCUCGUGUCACUUCUUGCAACAAUAGGAAAGUUAAUUUCUCUGUCCUAUAUAGGCCACAGUUUUCUAUUUUGACUGAGAAGGAAGAGAAGGUUUGUAUUGUUUUUUGUUGUGGUAGUGGUGGAUAGCAAAUAGAGCAAAUUG